rnacentral:rRNA from 1 species
AGAACGAACGCUGGCGGCAGGCCCAACACAUGCAAGUCGAACGCCCCGCAAGGGGAGUGGCAGACGGGUGAGUAACGCGUGGGAACGUGCCCUAAGGUACGGAACAACUCCGGGAAACUGGAGCUAAUACCGUAUGUGCCCGAGAGGGGAAAGAUUUAUCGCCUUGGGAUCGGCCCGCGUCUGAUUAGCUAGUUGGUAGGGUAACGGCCUACCAAGGCUACGAUCAGUAGCUGGUCUGAGAGGAUGACCAGCCACACUGGGACUGAGACACGGCCCAGACUCCUACGGGAGGCAGCAGUGGGGAAUAUUGGACAAUGGGCGAAAGCCUGAUCCAGCCAUGCCGCGUGAGUGAUGAAGGCCUUAGGGUUGUAAAGCUCUUUCGGUGGGACGAUAAUGACGUACCCGCAGAAGAAGCCCGGCUAACUUCGUGCCAGCAGCCGC